AGGGUUUGAUCCUGGCUCAGAAUCAACGCUGGCGGCGUGCCUAACACAUGCAAGUCGAACGCGAAAGGGGCUUCGGCCCUGAGUAGAGUGGCGAACGGGUGAGUAACGCGUGGGUGACCUACCUUCGAGUGGGGGAUAACGUUCCGAAAGGAGCGCUAAUACCGCAUGAAGUUCCGGGGUUGAAUACCUGGAAACCAAAGCCGGGGACCGUAAGGCCUGGCGCUUGGAGAGGGGCCCGCGUCUGAUUAGCUAGUUGGCGGGGUAAUGGCCCACCAAGGCGACGAUCAGUAGCCGGCCUGAGAGGGCGGACGGCCUCACUGGGACUGAGACACGGCCCAGACUCCUACGGGAGGCAGCAGUGGGGAAUUGUUCGCAAUGGGCGCAAGCCUGACGACGCAACGCCGCGUGGGGGAUGAAGGUCUUCGGAUUGUAAACCCCUGUCGAGCGGGACGAAUGGCCCGCGACCUAACACGUCGUGGGAGUGACGGUACCGCUAAAGGAAGCCACGGCUAACUCUGUGCCAGCAGCCGCGGUAAUACAGAGGUGGCAAGCGUUGUUCGGAAUUACUGGGCGUAAAGGGCGCGUAGGCGGCCUUCUAAGUCAGACGUGAAAUCCCCCGGCUUAACCUGGGAACUGCGUCUGAUACUGGGAGGCUUGAGUGCGGAGAGGGAUGCGGAAUUCCAGGUGUAGCGGUGAAAUGCGUAGAUAUCUGGAGGAACACCGGUGGCGAAGGCGGCAUCCUGGACCGACACUGACGC
rnacentral:rRNA from 1 species